UGUACAACUCUUAUCGAUAAGCCAUUGGAGGGCAAGUCUGGUGCCAGCAGCCGCGGUAAUUCCAGCUCCAAUAGCGUAUAUUAACGUUGUUGCAGUUAAAAAGCUCGUAGUUGAAGUGUGGGUGAUCGCUGUUGUGAGACUUCGGUCUCUCGACAGUAAGUCACCCCCUUCCAGUAUCCAGUAGUGGGUAUUCAGUUACUUACUAUUGUGUGUUGGUCGUUUACUGUGAGAAAAUUAGAGUGUUCAAAGCAGGCGUUUGCUUGAAUAGAUUAGCAUGGAAUAAUAAUUGAAGGCUUUCGUGUUCGAUUUGAUUGGUUUGUUCAUGGAAGCAAGGUUAAAAGGAACAGUUGGGGGUAUUCAUAUUCACUAGUUAGAGGUGAAAUUCUCGGAUUUAUGGAAGAUGAACAA
rnacentral:rRNA from 1 species